rnacentral:rRNA from 1 species
GACGAACGCUGGCGGCGUGCUUAACACAUGCAAGUCGAACGGAAAGGCCCUGCUUUUGUGGGGUGCUCGAGUGGCGAACGGGUGAGUAACACGUGAGUAACCUGCCCUUGACUUUGGGAUAACUUCAGGAAACUGGGGCUAAUACCGGAUAGGAGCUCCUGCUGCAUGGUGGGGGUUGGAAAGUUUCGGCGGUUGGGGAUGGACUCGCGGCUUAUCAGCUUGUUGGUGGGGUAGUGGCUUACCAAGGCUUUGACGGGUAGCCGGCCUGAGAGGGUGACCGGCCACAGUGGGACUGAGAUACGGCGCAGACUCCUACGGGAGGCAGCAGUGGGGAAUAUUGCACAAUGGGCGGAAGCCUGAUGCAGCAACGCCGCGUGCGGGAUGACGGCCUUCGGGUUGUAAACCGCUUUCGCCUGUGACGAAGCGUGAGUGACGGUAAUGGGUAAAGAAGCACCGGCUAACUACGUG